rnacentral:rRNA from 1 species
UACAGAGGGGGCAAGCGUUAUUCGGAAUUAUUGGGCGUAAAGGGCGCGUAGGCGGCUUGGCAAGUGGAAGGUGAAAUCCCUCGGCUUAACCGAGGAACUGCCCUCCAAACUGCUUGGCUUGAGACCGGGAGAGGUGAGUGGAAUUCCCAGUGUAGCGGUGAAAUGCGUAGAUAUUGGGAGGAACACCAGUGGCGAAGGCGGCUCACUGGACCGGUACUGACGCUGAGGUGCGAAAGCGUGGGGAGCAAACAGG